UAUAAAAAGAUGUUGCCUGGUGACCUGUCAGAAACCCAUUAUACAGAGUCAGCCAAAAUAAUGUUUACACACAUCAGGAAAAGAAAAACUUGCAUAAAUAUUUCAAUACCAAAUUUAUUCAGACAUCACAAGAUUAAUAAAAGUUAUCUUUGGCCUCUACAAUUACAAGAGGUGCUCAAAGUGGUGGCCACUGGCUUCCAGACAUUUCUGUUGUGUUGUAGACGUCACUUGUUGAUGCUCCAUUCAUGAGGGUAGCGCCAUCUGUUGGGAAAACAUUGUACAACAGGACACCGAGUUGUCGUGAUUUGAUCAAACUUAGAAAGAGGAAUCUAUAUGUGUAGAAGUACUUAUACAAAUGAAAUAUUUAUAAAAGUUUUUCUUUUCCUGAUGUGUGUACAUUAUUUUGGCUGACUCUGACUGUGAACUUAAUGAGAACAAAAUUGUCAUUUAGUUGUUGCUCUGGAAGCUUCUUUAGUGAAAACCAGCUGGUGUUCUGCUUUGAAAAAAAAACUGCUGUUGAGGUCUGUGUUUUUAGGUUUAACCCCACAGUUUCUGAAUGAACUGAUAGUUUUAAUUGACGUUAUAAUUGAUGGUAACAUUUACUGAUCAUAUAAUCAGCAUGACAAUAUAACAGUAGAACAUUCUGACCACCUGACUAAUACUGUGUUGGUCCCUUUAUGCUGCUAAAACUCCUCUGACCCAGUGGUUCAUCAGAACCUCUGGGGAUGUCCUGUGGAUUCUGUGGAUCCUGUGGGUUGCAGGGUGGGUCCUACCUAGACCAGGCUGAUCCUGGACCAUCCCACAGAUGCUCAAUCAGAUCUGGAUGUGGGGAGUGUGGAACCCAGAUGUUCAGAGGGAGAUGAUGCCACAUCUGGUCCAGCUGAUGGAAGGUCUUGAAGUUCUCUGACUGGCCUCGACUGAAGAUGGUCGUCUCACUGGAUUUAAGGUUCAGAUGCUCAGUAACAAACUCCACCAAUGAGCCAACAGGGAAGCUUUAGGUUUAUUAAAUGUUGCUAUGAAGGUUUCGCUGUUUUUCUUUGUGAAUGCAAUGAGCUCCAACUGAAACUUGAAUUAGAACUUAGAAGUAAAUCCUUCCAUCUGAAAGGAUUUAGUUGCAUUAAUAACCUCAUAACAUUCUAAUUUUUAUUCCAGUCUUGGUUGGAAAUAGAAUCUCUGUAUUGAUUCAGGUAAAAACUGAACUUCACAGCAUGUUGGAGCAAAACAACCAGAUGAAAACUGUGAUGGUGUUGGAUUGUCAGACCGUAAUGUUGCAGCUCAAAGCAGCUUUUCUAUCUCAGUUCAUUCUGACAUUCAGCUAUGAAUCAACACAGCAGAUGGUGAUCCAUGCUGUGGAAGUCUCACAUCUCCUGAUUUAAUGGAGCUGCUUUGCACUUUUUACACUGUUUAUUCACCAACACUUUAUUUAAUAAAAGUCCAUCUAGUUUUUAUGAGGAAUGUGAUGUUUUAAUUUCUCUGUGAAUAACUGCAGUCUAAUGCAACAGCUGGAGUUGUAACAUCUGUCCUGAUAUUGAUCAUGAAGUAUUGAUCAGAAUACUUAUGGUCAGCAGUCAUCCCUGAAGUUUUACAUUAAAAUCUUUACUUGUGUUGUGAACUUUGGUAAGAAGCAGAAACUUUAGCGUUGCCAUGGAUACAUGAGUGUUAAAUUCUGUCCAUGUUUCCAUUUUGGGAAAUUCAGUCCAGCAGAUGAGUUUGUUUUUACUGCCAGCAACCAUUCAGUCUGAGAUAUUAAGAAUAAAUAAAUGUGCAUAAUGUGGAAAUGAACAGAUUCUAUUUUUAUUUAUACCUACAGCUGCUGGUAAAGUUCCAGAAUGUGGAGGAAUUUAGUCUCACAAUCACAGACAAUAAAUAUUAUCUGAAAGUCAGGUUAUUGUUGUUUAUCAGCACAAUACAAAAAGAUUAAUGUUAGAAAUAUUCCAGUUAAGACUCUAGAAUAUCAGGAUUUAUGUAAAUUUACCUCAAUAAUAUGAAUGUUCAGGUUAAGAUUGUACAGUGAUAUUUAUUAUGUAAGUUUAGCUGAUUAAAGUUUAUGACUCUGCACUAAAAUAUUAUGUAUUUAAAUUGACAUCAUUAUUAUAAUAUUUAGGGUCAGACCCUACAGUAUUGAGAUUAAGAAAUCAAAUAUUCUAUAAAAUAUAAAUACACUGAACUCAUUUGGAUAUAUUUAAGUGAGACUCUACAAUAUUAUUUGACACAAAUCUAUCUAAAUCAAAACUUUAAUCAUUUUUACUCCAAACAUUUACUGGACUGAUUUAAACAUUAAAAUCACUCCUUUCUAAUCCUCUGCUGUACGUUCAAACCUGAGGCCUUAAAUAGAAACACACAAGUAUCUGAUUGAAGGAACUUCUGCAGAGUCCUGGUUCCAGAACAUGAUGAUAGAAUUAUAGACAAACUUUAACAAAAGCUGCCUGAGAGUUUACAGGUUUUUAUGUUAGAUUUCUUCAAUAAUUUAAUGAGAGUUAUCAGCAAAAAUCAAGUGUUCAUUUGAUGAACUUCAUUUCCUAAAACAUCCAGAAUUGGAGCUCAUAUCUUUGGCAGCUGUAAAGUUUCUGCUCCUUCAAAGUUCACAACACAAUGAAUGAAUUCCUAAAACACUCUCAAUGCUGGAGAGCGUUUGUGAUGCUGAAGCAGUGACCAGUUUUUCAGUUUCUUCUCUGGAGAUGCACAAUGAGGGACGUCUGCAGAGACUGAGAAAGAGUCUCACCACAUCCUGACAUGAGGAAAAAGACUUUAUUGAAGACUACAAUGAGAAAAACUAUCAGACAGCAGACGGCUGCAUUCAAGUCUGUAGCUGCUGAAUUCAUGGAUGAAUCAUCUGGCACUAGAGAGGAAGACCAUCAAACAUCCAUGUCAGCUGAUGGAGGUCCAAGAGUCUCACCAAACAAACAACCUACAGAGUGAAGACCUCGAACCUGAUUGGACGGCCUCCUAUUCAGCCACAUGUGUGAACAAAUGCCUCUAAGCUGAUUUGUUUUCUAAAAUAAAUCUAGUUUGAGUCCUAA